rnacentral:rRNA from 1 species
AUGAGCGAGGAGUCGCCGUGCACCCUCCUGCUGCCGUUCUUGGACAAGAGCACCCACCGGGCGGCCGAGGAGCUCAAGGCUGGCCUCCAUGCGAGCGACGUCGGCGCAAAGGUCGACGCUCUGAAGCGCGCGGUCAUGCUCCACCUCAACGGCGACACGGUCCACUUCCUUGUCAUCGUCGUCCGCUGCGUCCUCCCCUCCAAGGAACACAUCAUCCAGAGGCUCCUCCUCGUGUACCUCGAGGUUGUGGACAAGCGGGACCAAGCCUCCGGCAAGGUCAUCCCGGAGAUGAUCCUCCUCUCCCACCACCUCCGCAACAACCUCCAGCACCCCAACGAAUACAUCCACGGCGUCACGCUGCGGUUCCUCUGCCGGCUCCGCGAGCCGGAGCUGCUCCAGCCGAUUGUGCCCGCCAUCAUCGCCAAUCUCGAGCACCCGCACCCUUUCGUCCGCCGACACGCGCUCUCCGCAAUCUCUGUGAUCUUCCGCCUGCCUUGUGGCGAGCAGCUCAUUCCAAACGCGCCUUACCUUGUGGAUCGUGCUCUCGCCAUGGAGCAGGACCCAAGUGCACGGAGGAACGCGUUCCUCAUGCUCUGCGACUGCUCGCCGGAUCAUGCGAACGCUUACUUGCUCAGCAACGCUGCCCGCGACGCCGAGUGGCCCAUCGCCCUCCAGAUGGCCGCCCUCGAUUUCGUUCGCAAAGCCUACUCUCCUCGCUUCAGAACCACGUACAUUGAGAUCAUCAUGUCCCUCAUCUCCACUGGCACAACUGAUGCUGUUGUAGUAUAUGACUGCGCACGCACGCUCUUGUCUGUCUCCCGUGCACCGACCUUGAUCCGCGCUGCUGUGGAAGCCUACUUCCGGCUGCUCAACUCACAAAGUGACAAGAAGGUGAGGCUUGUUAUCCUGGACAGCCUGCACGAGCUGUGCACCUCACACCAUUAUAUGAUGGUCUCUUUUGUCAUGGACAUCCUGCACUUGCUUGCCAGAGCUGAUGCUGAUCAGCUGGAUGUCAGAAGCAAGGCUCUGGAUUUGGUGCUUGGUUUGAUCACCGCGCAGAAUGUGGAGAAGGUCGUUUUAUACCUCAAGAAGGAGGUUUUUGAGACAAUGGACAGUGGGCAUAAGAUGGCCUAUGAAUACUACCUGAUGCUGGUGCAGGCGAUCCAUGCCUGUGCCGUGCAGUACCCAAGUGUGGCUGGAUUGGUGAUGCACAUCCUCUUGGAUUUCCUUGUGUAUGCUGACAUUCCUUCAGCUUCGGGUGUCAUUAUGUUUGUGUGUGACGUCAUCGGGGCCGAUCCUUUGCUGCGUGUUUCCGUGAUAGUGAGGCUGGUUGACUUGUUAAGUUUUAUCCAGGAUUCCUUCAUCUGUUCAUGUGUUCUCUGGAUCCUUGGGGAGUACUCGUUUUCGCUAUCUGAGGUCCGGAGAGCCAUUUCAACCAUUUUGCAGACACUUGGAGAUCAGCCCUUCAAUGAUGUCACCGAGAAAAGCGAUGAAUUCGAUUCAUCCAAGACGGUCAAUCCACUGAGGGGCUCAUGUAAUUUACGUUCUAAGAGACACAUCGUUCUUUCAAAUGACACUUAUGCCACACAGACUGUCGUCACCGGUGAAUCCAUUUUUGAUUGCGCUCCUACUAGUGGGUUGUUCGAUUGCACGCAUAGUCUCAGAUUUCUCAUUAUGUCAGGUGAUUUUCACUAGGGCGCCGUUGUUGCGUGUACGUUGACCAAGCUUGUGCUGAGGCUGGAGGAGGUUGAGCCAUCUAAUAAGGUUGAAGCAAACAAGGCAUCAGCAGAGUCUUUCCUGAUCAUGGUGUCCAUGAUGCAGCUGGGGAAGUCCUCUUACCUUCCCCACCCUAUUGACAGUGACUCACAUGACAGAAUCGUGUUCUGUGUGAGGUUGCUUUGUAGCACUGAUUAUGAUCAUGCGAGGAAGGUUUGGUUGCUGUCAUGCCGCCAGAGCUUCACAAAGAAGCUUGCUGAGAAGCAGUCCAGGAAGAAUAAUGAGAAGAUGAAGGUCGAGGCACAGAAUGCCCAUGCACAUCCUGAUGAUUCCAUUGAUUUCUACCACCUGAGGAGCAGGAGGGGAAUGGGCCAACUUGACUCGGAAGAUGAGUUCCGAGAUGAUUUAAAGGCUGCAACUGGUGAACUCAAGGAUGCAGAUGAUGCAAAUAAUUUGAACCGCCCUAUUCAAUUGACAGGGUUAAGUGAUCCAUUGUAUGUUGAAGGAUUUGUUACUGUUAAUCAAUAUUAUGAUACUGUACUUGAUAUUACCUUCGUAAACCGGACAGAAGAAACAAUGCACAACUUGUGUUUGGAGUUUGCCACAGCAUGUAGAAAUGCAGUACUUGAGCGCUCUCCGAAGUACACUGUGGCUCCUAACGCAAGCGAGCAAAUCCAGGCCAACAUCAAGGUUUCUUCAUCAAAUGUUGGAAUUAUACUUACUCGCAUCGUUUACGAGACUUCAGAUGAAGUGGGGCCUUCAGAGGUGAUCUUAAAAGAUAUGAACAUUAGCAUUGCGGAUUACGUGACACCUGCUACAUGCACUGAUAUCGCUUUCCGGAAGAUGUGGACUGAGUGUCCCUGGAAAGUUAAGGUGAAGGUCAAUACCGUGCUUCAUGAUGAGAAGGCAUUUGUGAACUUUAUAAUCAAGUCAACAAACAUGAACUGUCUAACACCAUCGUCUGCGCUUGAUGGUGACUGUUGGUUUGUUGCUGCCAAUCUCUACGCCAAGAGUGUGUUUGGCGAGGAUGCUUUGGUGAACAUCAGCAUAGAGAAGCAGUCCAACUCUAAGCUCAGUGGCUACAUCGCUAUACGUGGCUAUGUCCAAGGACUGGUUCUUAAUUUGACGCAUACACUUAUCCUUAAACAGCAGGCUACAGUUAACGCAGCAAUGAGCGUGUGA